UAAUACGAAGGGUGCAAGCGUUACUCGGAAUUACUGGGCGUAAAGCGUGCGUAGGUGGUUUGUUAAGUCUGAUGUGAAAGCCCUGGGCUCAACCUGGGAACUGCAUUGGAAACUGGCUGACUAGAGUGCGGUAGAGGGGUGUGGAAUUCCCGGUGUAGCAGUGAAAUGCGUAGAUAUCGGGAGGAACAUCUGUGGCGAAGGCGACACCCUGGACCAGCACUGACACUGAGGCACGAAAGCGUGGGGAGCAAACAGGAUUAGAUACCCUGGUAGUCCACGCCCUAAACGAUGCGAACUGGAUGUUGGGGGCAACUUGGCCCUCAGUAUCGAAGCUAACGCGUUAAGUUCGCCGCCUGGGAAGUACGGUCGCAAGACUG
rnacentral:rRNA from 1 species